AUACGGAGGGUGCAAGCGUUACUCGGAAUCACUGGGCGUAAAGCGCGCGCAGGCGGCUUGAUAAGUUGGAUGUGAAAGCCUGCGGCUCAACCGUAGAACUGCAUCCAAAACUGUCAAGCUAGAGUCUGGGAGGGGAAGAUGGAAUUAGUUGUGUAGGGGUAAAAUCCGUAGAGAUAACUAGGAAUACCAAAAGCGAAGGCGAUCUUCUGGAACAGUACUGACGCUGAGGCGCGAAAGCGUGGGGAGCAAACAGGAUUAGAAACCCUAGUAGUCC
rnacentral:rRNA from 1 species